AAUCACUCAGCUGACGGGCAGGCUCCUUAUCGUGGAUGCAGGAGAGGGACCACCAGAAAGGCCCCACCAAAAAGAGGCACAUCUGGGCAGAGAGUGUCAGAACAGAAGAGCUAUGUUGUCCCUUGCACCUUGAAGUGAUGAGCACUGGCAGAUCUCCUGAUCUCAGCUUGGGGCUGCUGAUGGUUCAGGUCCAUUUCAGCGAGAGAGAGCAACAUGCACGGGGUGAACCUCAAAAGAGAAAAUCUGUGAGUCUGAGGUUUUCCUCUGCUACUCCUCAGACUCUGGUGCGUUCUGUUUGUUCAUCUCUCUCUCCUCUCUUGUAGCUGAGACAGGCUGUCUAGACAUUGCAGAUGUGGACAGAUGUUGGGUCUGUAAUUUAUAACAACGGCCUCCAGAAGGCAAUUCCAAUUUGUUUCGAUGUGAGCUUUCUACACUGGGCUCCUGAAACCAUGCCUACUGCUGGUUGCCCAGCUUCCCAUCAUGGUGGACUCUUAUCCUUCUGGAACACAGGCUCAAGGAAACUCUUUGUUCUAUAGGUUGCCUUAGCUAUGGUGUUUUGUCACAGCAACAGAAAGGUAACUAAGACAGAUAGGGAGCUGACCAAGUCUGCGUAAUCACAAGGUUUUCCCAAGGUACAACAUGUUCACAGACAGCUGUAGUAGGAGCUGGAGUGAAGGCCAGGCUGGUACUUUUGCAAUUUCUAGGGGAAGUUUUUCCUAGAGGCUGUUUCCAGUGUGGCACAGUGUAGACCUCCAGGAAAGGUAGACAUGGCGGAGUGUGCUUUGUAACCACGAGCAUCGAGCAAAGAAGCUAGAAACAUAAGUGUGCUCGCCACUGCCCAGGCUGACUCCUGGAUUUGUAAAACUCUGAGCUCUGAGCAUCUCUACCUGUUCCUUGAAGACUUUUGUGAAAGGUCUUCCUUCUUUCUCUGUGCUGGGUGCAUUCGACUCUGAUGCCUUCAGAGGUGAGUGGAUUUCCAUUCCCAGAGAAUGAAAAAAAUGAGCAGAAGCCCUGCCUGAACCUGGAGGCCACUGAGAAGAUGCCUCAGAGCCCCGGGCCGCAGUUAAGGUGACGAGAUGCAGCAAUUCUUUAUGAACAUUUCAUUCCUGCUCGCUACACGACGUAAAUUAGAUGGUGUGUUACAUUCGGGCAAUAAGAGAGAUAUGUCACCACGACGCUGGCCCAUUGGAUGGAGAGGGGGUUUGGCGAAGAGCGGAAAGGAUUUCACCCUGAUGUGCACACUACUGAGUGACCCCCGCUCACCAGCGGCUCCGCUGAUUGCUUUGCACCUUGCAGACUUCGAUACUGGCUCAGCCUCUUGCCGGCCUCGCUCCCUCCGCUCCCUCUGGGUCUCCAGCCCACCCCUCCCCUGCCUGGCUUUCUCUUGAAGCCAAAGCCAAGAGACCUAACAGAGGAGUCACAAAGGUCAUGAAGGGAUGGAUGUCUCUGUGGGGAGGAGUAGGGCGACAGAGCUAACACCAAAAUAAAACAAAAA
rnacentral:lncRNA from 1 species